GACGAACGCUGGCGGCGUGCUUAACACAUGCAAGUCGAACGGAAAGGCCCUGCUUGCAGGGUACUCGAGUGGCGAACGGGUGAGUAACACGUGGGUGAUCUGCCCUUCACUUCGGGAUAAGCCUGGGAAACUGGGUCUAAUACCGGAUAGGAGCCAGUUUUAGUGGGAUGGUUGGAAAGUUUUUUCGGUGUAGGAUGAGCUCGCGGCCUAUCAGCUUGUUGGUGGGGUAAUGGCCUACCAAGGCGGCGACGGGUAGCCGGCCUGGGAGGGUGGACGGCCACAUUGGGACUGAGAUACGGCCCAGACUCCUACGGGAGGCAGCAGUGGGGAAUAUUGCCCAAUGGGCGCAAGCCUGAUGCAGCGACGCCGCGUGGGGGAUGACGGCCUUCGGGUUGUAAACUCCUUUCGCUAGGGACGAAGCUUUUUGUGACGGUACCUAGAUAAGAAGCACCGGCUAACUACGUG
rnacentral:rRNA from 1 species